GGGAGGGAGAACACUUGUGGUGAUGAGCUGACAGAGAACAACGUGAUGCUGUGCUCCAUUUCAGCAACAAGGUUAUGGGUGCCCACCAGGCACUGCCUGGAUAAUCUAGCCAGCAUUUUAAGGACCACAACCAAGGAGUUUUUGCAACAGAAGUGUAUAUUUAUUCUACUUCCCUGCAAUGCUUUCAAGAAGAUGCAAAGGAAUUUUUGCUCAGGUUUUCUAACACUAAGUCUUCAAGCAGCAACAGGUCAUGCAGGACUUCUGCCCAAAAAUGAAGCAGGCAUCAGAUGAGGUCCCAUCCACGUUGUUGUAUAUCUAACCCUAGAAGAGAAGCAGCCCAGGUAGAACGGAGCAGUACUUACUCAGCACUGAGAGCUGUCUGUCAGCCACAACCUUGAUGUAAGAAGCUGAUUGAGGGGCCACGGGGAGAAAGGAAGAGUUCAAUCUUCAAAUCUCUUCGGUCCUUGUCCUUUUUAUUUUAAGAUUUGGGAGGAGAAAUACUUGCCCCUCUGGAAUAGAACAGAAAUCACAUUUCUACCUGGCCAGCACAAAUCUUACACUUUUUCAGCCCAUGCCAACAUGAGUGUGAACUGACAGCUUUGUAGAUGAAAGUAACAAAAUACCAUCCUUCAAACCAAUGAUUCACCACCGAACAUUUCAUUUUCAGCUACUGAAUAGAAUUAAAUCAUUGCAGUUUGCACAUGUCUGCCUAUAGCAAUUUCAGGUUGUAAGUACUAGUGCUGAUCUGUGACUUUGCUGUUUUACAACUCAAAAUGACAGAAAUCUUCCAUGAUAUGGUACAAGAAUUUCCAAACCAGCUAAAAAAUAUGUACUACUGUAGAUGAAAAAAAGUAUUAUGUUACCUUAGAGAAAAAAAUUACUUACUUGAUAGCUACUGCUGAAAUAAAGCAGAGUAGAGUAGACAGGAGGAUUAGUAUACUGUACUUACCAUUAGAUACACACUUCUCAAUUAGAACUGCUAUUUCCCAAACACAUGGAUAGUAUUUACAUUACAGAUAAAUUAUACUUAGAGAAAACAUUCUGAAAACUUUGUCAGUAGGUAAAUAUUUUGAGCUAAAUGUUCAAGUUAAAUUUCAAACUUUUUUUGCCCAGUUAUAUUGCAUCACAUUCUACUAGGCAAUGUUUUCCUGUUAAGCAUCCUUCUGAAUUGGUUUUGCGCUGCUUCUUUAUUCUUAACCAAUCUCUAGAGAAAGUUCACAGAAUAGGGAUUUAUCAUACCUUUCCAAAUAAAAACAUCUGUCCUAAAUUCUGCUGUCAUAACAGUCACAAGGUCUCCCAGCCUGUUUAGCGUGUGUGUUGUAAGAAGGAAACCUACUGUCCUUACAAGCUCAAGAACUUACAAACUUUUAAGUACAAAGGAACAAAGCUAAUCAUAGGCUGUCACAAUUCAAAUACCCCAUAUAGCUUGCCUAAAAAGAUAAGCUCUGCCACAGGCAAGUGCAGAAAUCUAUGUGGGAAGCAGACAUUAAGUACUUCUAUUUCCCUCCUCCUUGUUUUCAGGUGAAUUCACUUGACCUCCUUUGUAGGGGGCCACUUUAUACACUUGUGUAUAAAAUAGAGAAGACUCAUGUUUCCUCUGAGUUUGCCAUAUACAGAGGCUGUUCUGUAACAUAACCUUGUCAAAGCCCUCUGCACUCGAGGAAUGAAAAAAGGUUGUAGCAAUAAGGCAGAAUUAUAUUGUUUUUCUGAUAAAAAGACCCAGCAAGUUUAUAUUGCUUCAUCAGUAUGAGGCAGCUUCAACUCAACUAAAACUUUUGUAACCCAAGAUACACUAAUGGGUUUUCUUGUUUGUCCUGGAAUCUGGACCCUUCAGCCUAUCACUGAUCUAUUUUUUCAACAUGUAAUGCCAUUAUUAGUUAGAUACCUCUAUUCUCUGACCAUGAGAACUGAAUUAUAUGUACCGCAAUAACAUCUUGUUUGCUUCAAAAACCUAAGAGCUCUUCAUCUCUGUUAGUUAUCUUUUCAUCACUGUCAUAAUAAAAAUGGAUACAUAUUUGAAAAUGGGUCAUGUAAAAAAAGAAAAAGAUCUUCCAGAAAUUAUGCCCCAGGACAUAAUCAUAACUCUUACAUAUCUAUAUUUCAAUGGGUUCAGUGGAGCUACAGCAUAUUAAGUAAUUCUUUUUAUGGUAGUCAGUGAACAGAAAAUAUUUCAACAUAUUCAGUAAUGCUUCAUCACUCAUUCUUUACACACUAUAAGAGUUUAUUUUCCAAUUUAUACUUACUAGUUUGGUCUCAGGAGGUUAGUGGUAUUUUCACGUAUUCAUAUAAGCUCUUUCAUAAAUGUAGUGUCAUGACUAAUUGUCAUCACCCAAGAUGGAUGUAAAGCCUACCAAGUUCUUUUCUAAAAUAUUGAAUAAACCUUAUC